rnacentral:rRNA from 1 species
GACGAACGCUGGCGGCGUGCUUAACACAUGCAAGUCGAACGGAAAGGCCCUGCUUUUGUGGGGUGCUCGAGUGGCGAACGGGUGAGUAACACGUGAGUAACCUGCCCUUGACUUUGGGAUAACUUCAGGAAACUGGGGCUAAUACCGGAUAGGAGCUCCUGCUGCAUGGUGGGGGUUGGAAAGUUUCGGCGGUUGGGGAUGGACUCGCGGCUUAUCAGCUUGUUGGUGGGGUAGCGGCUUACCAAGGCUUUGACGGGUAGCCGGCCUGAGAGGGUGACCGGCCACAUUGGGACUGAGAUACGGCCCAGACUCCUACGGGAGGCAGCAGUGGCGAAUAUUGCACAAUGGGCGGAAGCCUGAUGCAGCAACGCCGCGUGCGGGAUGACGGCCUUCGGGUUGUAAACCGCUUUCGCCUGUGACGAAGCGUGAGUGACGGUAAUGGGUAAAGAAGCACCGGCUAACUACGUG